rnacentral:rRNA from 1 species
UACGAGGGGGGCAAGCGUUGUUCGGAAUUAUUGGGCGUAAAGGGUGCGUAGGCGGUGCGGUAAGUCUGUUGUGAAAUCUCCGGGCUCGACUCGGAGUCUGCAUCAGAAACUGCCGUGCUGGAGUGUGGGAGAGGUGAGUGGAAUUCCCGGUGUAGCGGUGAAAUGCGUAGAGAUCGGGAGGAACACCUGCGGCGAAAGCGGCUCACUGGACCAUAACUGACGCUGAUGCACGAAAGCUAGGGGAGCAAACAGG